GGAGAUGGAUUCUGAGACACGAAUCCAGACCCUACGGGGUGCAGCAGGCGCGAAAACUUGGCAAUGCGAGAAAUCGUGACCAGGGAACUCCAAGUGCAUCGGGUAAGACCGAUGCUUUUCUUGACUCUUCAAAGGUCUUGGAAUAAGGGGUGGGUAAGGACGGUGCCAGCCGCCGCGGUAAUACCGGCGCCUCAAGUGGUAGUCGCUUUUAUUGGGCCUAAAACGUCCGUAGCCGGUUUGGUACAUUCGUGGGUAAAUCAAGGCGCUCAACGUCUUGAAUUCUGCGAGCACGGCCAGACUUGGGACCGGGUGAGGUGUGGGGUACUCUCAGGAUAGGGGUAAAAUCCUGUCAUCCUGAGAGGACCACCUGUUGCGAAGGCGCCACACUAGAACGGAUCCGACGGUCAGGGACGAAGCCUAGGGGCACGAACCGGAUUAGAUACCCGGGUAGUCCUAGGUGUAAACGCUGUGGACUUGAUGUUGGGAGUGCUCCGAGCACCCUCAGUGUCGAAGCGAAGGUGAUAAGUCCACUGCCUGGGGAGUACGGUCGCAAGGCUGAAACUUAAAGGAAUUGGCGGGGGAGCACUGCAACCUGAGGAUUGUGCGGUUU
rnacentral:rRNA from 1 species